AGCCUGAACGCUGGCGGCGUGGCUAAGACAUGCAAGUCGAACGGGGGUAGCAAUACCCCAGUGGCGGACGGGUGAGUAAUGUAUCGCUAACGUGCCCCGGAGCCUGGGAUAGCCUUCCGAAAGGGAGGGUAAUACCAGAUGACAUCACUGCCUCGCAUGAGGUGGUGCUCAAAGCAGCAAUGCACUCUGGGAGCGGGGCUAGACUACGGUAGCCAAGACGUAGUUGGCGGGUUAACGGCCACCAAGGCCGAACGACGCGUAGCCCGGGACUGAGAGGUUGGCCGGGCCGACA
rnacentral:rRNA from 1 species